GGAGAGGUGGCAGAGCGGUUGAAUGCACCGGUCUUGAAAACCGGAAUAUCCGAAAGGGUAUCGUGAGUUCGAAUCUCACCCUCUCCG
rnacentral:tRNA from 1 species